rnacentral:rRNA from 1 species
CCUACGGGUGGCAGCAGUGAGGAAUAUUGGUCAAUGGGCGCGAGCCUGAACCAGCCAAGUAGCGUGAAGGAUGACUGCCCUACGGGUUGUAAACUUCUUUUAUAAAGGAAUAAAGUGAGGCACGUGUGCCUUUUUGUAUGUACUUUAUGACUAAGGAUCGGCUAACUCCGUGACAGCAGCCGCGGUAAUACGGAGGAUCCGAGCGUUAUCCGGAUUUAUUGGGUGUAAAGGGCGCGUAGAUGGGUUGUUAAGUCAGUUGUGAAAGUUUGCGGCUCAACCGUAAAAUUGCAAUUGAUACUGGCAGUCGUGAGUACAGUUGAGGUAGGCGGAAUUCGUGGUGUAGCGGUGAAAUGCUUAGAUAUCACGAAGAACUCCGAUUGCGAAGGCAGCUUACUAAACUGCCACUGACAUUGAUGCUCGAAAGUGUGGGUAGCAAACAGGAUUAGAUACCCUUGUAGUC